rnacentral:rRNA from 1 species
UACGAAGGGAGCUAGCGUUGUUCGGAAUCACUGGGCGUAAAGCACACGUAGGCGGAUGUGUCAGUCAGGGGUGAAAUCCCGGAGCUCAACUUCGGAACUGCCUUUGAUACAGCACAUCUGGAGUCCGGAAGAGGUGGGUGGAAUUCCUAGUGUAGAGGUGAAAUUCGUAGAUAUUAGGAAGAACACCGGUGGCGAAGGCGGCCCACUGGUCCGGUACUGACGCUGAGGUGCGAAAGCGUGGGGAGCAAACAGG